rnacentral:rRNA from 1 species
GACGUAGGGGGCAAGCGUUGUCCGGAAUCAUUGGGCGUAAAGCGCUCGUAGGUGGAUCGGUAAGUCUGCAAAGAAAGACCCGGGCUCAACUCGGGGAACGGUGUGGAUACCACCGAUCUUGAGGCAAUCAGAGGAUGAUGGAAUUCCUGGUGUAGCGGUGAAAUGCGCAGAUAUCAGGAAGAACACCCGUGGCUAAGGCGGCUCUCUAGUACGGUACUGACGCUGAGACGCGAAAGCGUGGGGAGCGAACAGG